ACGUACACUCCUGCGGGAGGCAUCAGUGGGGAAUAUUGGACAAUGGGCGCAAGCCUGAUCCAGCCAUGCCGCGUGAGUGAUGAAGGCCCUAGGGUUGUAAAGCUCUUUCACCGGUGAAGAUAAUGACGGUAACCGGAGAAGAAGCCCCGGCUAACUUCGUGCCAGCCGCCGCGGUAAUACGAAGGGGGUUAGCGUUGUUCGGAUUUACUGGGCGUAAAGCGCACGUAGGCGGACUAUUAAGUCAGGGGUGAAAUCCCGGGGCUCAACCCCGGAACUGCCUUUGAUACUGGUAGUCUUGAGUUCGAGAGAGGUGAGUGGAAUUCCGAGUGUAGAGGUGAAAUUCGUAGAUAUUCGGAGGAACACCAGUGGCGAAGGCGGCUCACUGGCUCGAUACUGACGCUGAGGUGCGAAAGCGUGGGGAGCAAACAGGAUUAGAAACCCGAGUAGUCCCA
rnacentral:rRNA from 1 species